GGGCGUAUAGCUCAAUAGGUAGAGCAAUGGUCUUUUAAACCAGAGGUUCCGGGUUCGAUUCCCGGUACGCUCA
rnacentral:tRNA from 1 species